UGGAACUGUUUGUGCCUGCAGUUGCAGUAGCACCUUUUCGCCUAUAGAGGGCGCAGUGCGUUUAUUUACCUGUGUGAUUUACAGGAAGUGAGGUACCUGGAAGUUUUUAUUUUCUGCUUCAUAACGAGAGAUACUCAGUCGUCCAGCUGUUUGUUUUGCCCUUGUACUGGCAAUAUAAUUUCACAAUUUUUGGCAUUAAACCUGUCCAACCACAA